AACGAACGCUGGCGGCAUGCCUAACACAUGCAAGUCGAACGAGACCUUCGGGUCUAGUGGCGCACGGGUGCGUAACGCGUGGGAACCUGCCCUUAGGUUCGGAAUAACUCCCCGAAAGGGGUGCUAAUACCGGAUAAUGUCUUCGGACCAAAGAUUUAUCGCCUUUGGAUGGGCCCGCGUUGGAUUAGCUAGUUGGUAGGGUAAAAGCCUACCAAGGCGACGAUCCAUAGCUGGUCUGAGAGGAUGAUCAGCCACACUGGGACUGAGACACGGCCCAGACUCCUACGGGAGGGAGCAGUGGGGAAUAUUGGACAAGGGGCGAAAGCCUGAUCCAGCAAUGCCGCGGGAGUGAUGAAGGCCUUAGGGUUGUAAAGCUCUUUUACCCGGGAUGAUAAUGACAGUACCGGGAGAAUAAGCUCCGGCUAACUCCGUG
rnacentral:rRNA from 1 species